CAUAGUCUUAGGGUUUGUGCGUUGGUUCAGAGCAUUUGGGUAUUUGGGGAGCAGCAACGGUGAAGGGUAGGCAAGGCGAGCGCGUGAGACUCUAUGUCCGCGGUACAAUCCUUGGAUACAAAAGGUCGAAGUCGAACCAGUAUCCAAACACGUCGCUGGUUCAGGUAGAGGGCGUGAACACUCAGGAGGAAGUGGCGUGGUAUCUCGGGAAGAAAUUGGCCUACAUUUACAAUGCCAAAGUUAAGAAGAACGGCUCUCACUAUCGCUGCAUUUGGGGCAAGGUCGCGCGUCCCCACGGCAACAGCGGCGUCGUUCGCGCCAAAUUCGAGUCCAAUCUCCCUCCCAAAUCCAUGGAAAAAUCAGCACCCAAAAUCGGAAUGCUAAAUGUUGAUUCUCUGCCUCUGGACGCAUUGUUGGAUCAUCUACCUUCGUCACAUUAAUACGAGUAUGGAUUUUGUGCGCCAAUAAUCGUGUAUUGUCGGCGGUGUAGCAAUCUUUUUUCUCUCAAUAAUGGAAGAAGGUAAUUCAGAGUUUGCCGGGCACCGGUGGUGAGCAGAUAAAUAGCCUAAUUGACUCGAUGCAGUGGAGAGACAUUCACCAUGGAAUGAACAUCUAUACAUAAUGUACAUUUUGUAUAGUAUAAUGCGUAGUUUAGUUUCUGUAAUGUAUUAUUUGUGAUAUGUAAUGAACAUUUAUC